UUGACCAAAGCAACGCUCAACUGCAGGUAAAAGCAUUAAAAUGUGAGUUUAACAACGCUCCAAGGCGCGUGCAAGUAAGCAGUUUAAGCGCUUUUAUUACAACCCAUUCUCACUCCUAAAGCGCCAAAAACUGACGCCUCUAGCGUCACUAUGAAGACGCCAAAGGCGCCCCUCGGCGUCGCUAUAUCGACGCACUAGGACCUACAUUGCUUUAAGUGGGAAACUUUUGGCGUCAGUACUCAGACGCGAAGGGCAUGAGAUGUUUAUCGCUAUGAAAUCACGUUCAAGAAGUCUCAUUCAGCGCACAUCGCGAUAUUUGCCAUCAGUUUACAUGUGCCACAGGUUGGGUGAGUAGUCGUAAAUACGCUGAUUUAAUGCCUGUUAUAAAAUGUAUUCCGUCUUCUUUAUUAAUCAGAAUAGCGCUGUAUGUUUCCUCGCUGUAUUAUAUCGGUCAUCCGAGGCUGUCUUUGAGUUUCAUUGCGUUUAACUAAAUGAAGACAGCUGCUAACUAGAGUGAUUAAACUCUAUCUGUCACGUGACGUGCCAUAGACCUUCGAUCCGUUUUUAUAUUCAUAUCAGGUUCAAAGAUGUAAGUUGUAUUUGUAGUAAAAUCAUGGUAACCACGACACGUACAAUAGUAACAAAUGAAAUUUGAAGUUAAAACCCAGUACGGGACAUUUACCAUGUUUUUACCACAGUAACUGUAGUUUUACUAUGGUAUAGUAAUAGCACAAUAAUCACCAAACUAACUAUGGUUGUACAACUGUAAUGGUAGUGUUUUGAUGUGCUUUUAUAUGACAGAUAUCACAGUAAUCACAUUUACUGCACCAUGUUUUAAUACCUUUUUAUGUAAAUAAAAAAAAGUAAAUAAAUAAAGGACACAUAUUUUUUCCCAUCUUGCAGUUCAUUCAUAUCAGUUUAUAUCUUAAAUAUUUAUAUUUAAAAUUCUUAAAAUAUUUAAUUUAUUUAUUUUUUUUUAGCUGAAAAGACAUGAAGGAAGCAGUCAGCCCAGUCGUGUUUGUGGAGAGGUAUUCCUUCAGAAAUGGAGAAGAUAGAAAGCUGCGGAGGCAGACAUUUGCAGCAGAUUGUUUGCAGAUAACGCUGUACUCCAUCAUGCACAAGGACUCACCUCUUUAACUCUUUAUCCCCCCCACACACAGAAAUGGUCCCUGGAUCAGUGUUUAGACUUUGCAGUGGUUUGAUUUUUUUGCAGAAAAUGCAACUUUGUUUUUAAUUAUAAAGCUUUAUAAUGAAUACAUUUUUGACCUUCCAGCAGCCCAUAUACUGUAUACAGAACCAGUGAUGAAAAACAAUAGUUGAAAAUAGUAUUUUUCGUAUUGAUAAAGCAUUGUGUUCUCUUUUUUCAAGCUUCAUACAGUAAACUUUACUUCUGGUGCUUUUAUCAUAAAAAGCAUCAGUUCUCAUCAGGAGUUUUAGUAAAGGACAUAUUCAUGCACAGCCAUCCCCUAGUUCCAGUCAUGAAGCGAAUGAUGUUAUUGUCAGAUUUAUAUUUCUGCAUUUUUAUGUAGCAGGUGUUUGUUUUCCUGAACACUUUAUUUUUCUUCCAUUGUUCGGACAAUCAAUGUUUAUUUGAUGCUGUGCUGAUAGAGUUUUUAUAGAUAAUAUUGCACACUUGACAUGCAUGUCUUCAUGGUGUUAUUUUUCUGAGUUUGAAACAGUGUGUUGUAUCACUUUUUUUGGUCAAUUUAACUUUUAAGAAAAUUGAUUUUUCCAGUGUUCUCUGAAAGACUGUAUCUGUAUAUACUGUAUUUACUGUUUUGUUUUUUAAUAAAAGUAUUUGCAUAAUGAAAAUAGCUAACGUUUACAACAUAACUGCCUUUUUAUUCUUCAUAGUGGC
ensembl:lncRNA